UACGUAGGGAGCAAGCGUUGUCCGGAAUCAUUGGGCGUAAAGCGCGCGUAGGUGGCUUCGUAAGUCCGUUGUGAAAGUCAAAGGCUCAACCUUUGAAAGCCGAUGGAUACUGUGGAGCUAGAGUACGGAAGAGGCGAGUGGAAUUCCUGGUGUAGCGGUGGAAUGCGCAGAUAUCAGGAGGGACACCAAUAGCGAAGGCAGCUCGCUGGGACGUUACUGACACUGAGGCGCGAAAGCGUGGGGAGCGAACAGG
rnacentral:rRNA from 1 species